GACGAACGCUGGCGGCGUGCUUAACACAUGCAAGUCGAACGGAAAGGCCCUGCUUUUGUGGGGUGCUCGAGUGGCGAACGGGUGAGUAACACGUGAGUAACCUGCCCUUGACUUUGGGAUAACUUCAGGAAACUGGGGCUAAUACCGGAUAGGAGCUCCUGCUGCAUGGUGGGGGUUGGAAAGUUUCGGCGGUUGGGGUUGGACUCGCGGCUUAUCAGCUUGUUGGUGGGGUAGUGGCUUACAAAGGCUUUGACGGGUAGCCGGCCUGAGAGGGUGACCGGCCACAGUGGGACUGAGAUACGGCCCAGACUCCUACGGGAGGCAUCAGUGGGGAAUAUUGCACAAUGGGCGGAAGCCGGAUGCAGCAACGCCGCGUGCUGGAUGACGGCCUUCGGGUUGUAAACCGCGUUCGCCUGUGACGAAGCGUGAGUGACGGUAAUGGGUAAAGAAGCACCGGCUAACUACGUG
rnacentral:rRNA from 1 species